GAACACUCUGAUUUAUGUUCUAAAUCGUCCGUGCGUGAUAUAAAUUUAUUGAAAUUUGUUUUUUUUUUCUCGGUAAAUUCGUAUAAAUAUGCAUAAGACGGUGUAAAAGAGACUGUCCGGAAUCGUCGACAAGUGGUUUGAAAUCCGGAUAUAAUUCUAGAGCACGGCGUUUUACUUCUAAGAGUGGAUAUUUGGAGGUUUUACGUCCGCUAUUUCUGGUACUGAGCCUAAACGCGGACGCCCAGUGAGGCUUCCGCACACACCUGGUCCGGGACCAACGACCUUACUCCCCUUCCGAAGGAAGACGUGAUCAGAGAUUUUAAGUCUCAGAAAAUCCCGACGGCAUUGACGGAAAAUGAUACCCGACCGGCUGGGGUGAGAGGCAAUCACGCUUACCACUACACCACCGACGCCGCUAGUUAUAUUUAUGAUUUCUGUUAACUUAAGCAUUUGUCAAAGAAACUAAAAAAACAAUAACAUAUGUAACAUGUAAGCAAUGAA